GACUCUUUGGAGACGUCCGAUAAAAUUGGAAUAAUACAGAGAAGAUUAGCAUGGCCUCUGCGCAAGGAUAACAUGCACAAAUCUAGAAAUAGUCCAAAAAAAU